AUUGGUGGAGUAUGAGUGAUGUUU
rnacentral:siRNA from 1 species